AAUCAUUUUAGCUGAGGAUGCUUUUGCUCAAAGUGAUCAAACAGUUUUCACAACAGAUCAGUCAUAUCCUCUGCAAAAGGUAGACCUGAACUGCAUACAGCCAGACUUUGCAAAAGGACCAAUAAAAUGGACAGUGGAUAACAAAGAUCCUGCUCUAGACAACACAAGAUACCUACUCUCAAACAACAACAGAACUCUCACUGUGAUAAACGCUAGUGAGGGUGACAGUGGUCAAUAUUCAUGCAUCACACAAAGGAAUACAAUACCAUACAUUCAGUGGCAAAAUAUCAUUAUUAACCAACGCCCCAGUAUUAUCGUGGGUGAUAAUUACCGUGUUUUUCCAUGUGAUGGCAGCAGUUUUCAACUGAAAUGUUCUGUUGAUGUUGGCUUCAAUCUUGAGUGGGUUCUGGAUGGAACAGUAAAGAUUUCAGGAUCUGACAGUAUCACAUUAAACUAUACUACUCGGAGUGGAAAUUGUACAGAUCAAACCUUUACCUUUACUUGUCGUCUCAAGGAUCUGCCACAACUACAGAAUUACAGUUAUAGCUAUAGCAGCGUCACAGUAAAG